AAUACAUAUCAUUAUUUGAUUAUAUCCGGCUAUAAAACCUGCCUGCUGCUAACACCUCACCUAUUCUGUAGCUGGUUUCAAACGAUACGCAACAUAAUGGCGAAAUUCUUUGUCAUCUUCGCCCUUUUGGUGGCCACAGUCUUGACUAAUGAUGCCUCAAGUAAUAGCGGUUUAGGUGCAUCAUUAGGCGGCCUUGGCCAAUCUCUUACUGGUGUGGGGCAAGGUGUAUGGGGUAUUUUAGCUGUCUUACCAAUAGGAUUAUACGAGGGACUCAUAGGCCCAAAUGGUUUGCUUACAUGGAUCGUAUUUGGUCUCACCGAAUUGCUGAGAGUACUCUUAGGUUAUUAUGGUAUUAUUCAGAUCUUCUUUACUGAAUUCGGUUAUGCAUUGGCUACCCUUCUGGGUAACGUUAUCAACGGCGUGCUCGUGCUUGUUAGUACUUUGUUGGGCAUGUCUUCAGGUACUGCUUAGGCAGAUGAUUCAAAUGUUAUUUUACAAAUAUAUGUAUUAAUAAAGACUAUUGCUAUUGAAUUUAAA